rnacentral:rRNA from 1 species
GCAGGAUCCAGAGUACCACGAGACACGUGAAACCUUGUGGGAACGCGCGGGGACCACCCCGUAAGGCUAAAUACUCCUUAGUGACCGAUAGCGCAUAGUACUGUGAAGGAAAGGUGAAAAGGACCCCGGGAGGGGAGUGAAAGAGAACCUGAAACCAUAUGUUUACAAGCUGUGGAACAUCUUUAUAUGAUGAACCGCGUACUUUUUGUAGAACGGUCCGGCGAGUUACGCUGGCUGGCGAGGUUAAGGGCUGAAGGCCUGGAGCCGAAGGGAAACCAAGUCUGAACAGGGCGAAAUAGUCAGUCGGAGUAGACCCGAAACCGGGUGAUCUAUCCAUGUCCAGGUUGAAGUUGCCGUAAAAGGCAAUGGAGGACCGAACCCACAUCCGUUGAAAAGGGUGGGGAUGAGGUGUGGAUAGGGGAGAAAUUCCAAUCGAACCCGGAGAUAGCUGGUUCUCCUCGAAAUAGCUUUAGGGCUAGCCUCAUGCAAGUCUUACGGAGGUAGAGCACUGAAUUCCUAAGGGGGCGUCAAAGCUUACCAAGGGAUAUCAAACUCCGAAUGCCGUGUAGAUGGUGCAUGGGAGUCAGACUAUCCGAGAUAAGUUGGGUAGUCAAAAGGGAAAGAGCCCAGACCUACAGCUAAGGUCCCAAAAUGUGUGUUAAGUGGAAAAGGAUGUGGGAUUUCGAAGACAACUAGGAUGUUGGCUUAGAAGCAGCCAUCCAUUAAAAGAGUGCGUAAUAGCUCACUAGUCGAGAGGUCCUGCGCCGAAAAUGUCCGGGGCUGAAACACACUACCGAAGCUUAGGAAUUGACGAAUGUCAAUUGGUAGAGGAGCAUUCUUAACGGGGCGAAGCUGUACCGGAAGGAGCAGUGGACUGUUAAGAAGAGAGAAUGCCGGAAUGAGUAGCGAGAGGAAGGUGAGAAUCCUUCCGGCCGAAUAUCUAAGGUUUCCAGAGUAAAGCUGAUCUGCUCUGGGUAAGUCGGGGCCUAAGGCGAGGUCGAAAGACGUAGUCGAUGGAUAACAGGUAAAGAUUCCUGUACUAUAUCAUAACAGAACUGUGGGGACGCAGACAGAGAGCAUAAGCCGGGAAUGGAAAAACCGGUACAAGCGAGGUAGGAGUGCAUCAGGCAAAUCCGGUG